rfam:Danio rerio chromosome 4, GRCz11 reference primary assembly.
AUAGUCGUGGCCGAGUGGUUAAGGCGAUGGACUCGAAAACCAUUGGGGUCUCCCCGCGCAGGUUCGAACCCUGCCGACUACG